rnacentral:rRNA from 1 species
GAUGAACGCUAGCGGGAGGCUUAACACAUGCAAGUCGAGGGGUAAGCGGGUAGCAAUAUCUGCCUAGACCGGCGCACGGGUGAGUAACGCGUAUGCAACCUGCCCUUUACAGGGGGAUAGCCCGGAGAAAUCCGGAUUAAUACCCCAUAGUCCUGUAACCUCGCAUGGGGAAUCAGGUAAAGCUGAGGCGGUAAAGGAUGGGCAUGCGUGACAUUAGCUAGUUGGCGGGGUAACGGCCCACCAAGGCUGCGAUGUCUAGGGGUUCUGAGAGGAAGGUCCCCCACACUGGUACUGAGACACGGACCAGACUCCUACGGGUGGCAG